UACGUAGGGGGCUAGCGUUGUCCGGAUUUAUUGGGCGUAAAGAGCGUGUAGGCGGCCAGGUAGGUCUGGUGUGAAAACUCGAGGCUUAACCUCGAGAUGUCAUCGGAAACCAUUUGGCUAGAGUCCGGAAGAGGAGAGUGGAAUUCCUGGCGUAGCGGUGAAAUGCGCGGAUAUCAGGAAGAACACCAAUGGCGAAAGCAGCUCUCUGGGACGGUACUGACGCUGAGACGCGAAAGCGUGGGGAGCGAACAGG
rnacentral:rRNA from 1 species